GAUUAUGGCUCAGGAUGAACGCUGGCGGCGUGCCUAACACAUGCAAGUCGAACGAGCGAGAGAUGAAACCUGGUGAUUCUCGAGCGAGUGGCGGACGGGUGAGUAACGCGUGGGUAACCUGCCUUACAGGAGGGGGAUAACAGUUUAGAAAAGACUGCUAAUACCGCAUAAGCACACAGUACCGCAGUGGUACGAGGGUAGAAAAGAUUUAUCACUGUAAGAUGGACCCGCGUCUGAUUAGCCAGUUGCAGGGUAACGGCCUACCAAGCGACGAUCAGUAGCCCGACCUGAGGAGGGUGAUCGGCCACAGUUGGGACUGAGACACCGGACCCAAACUCCGUACGGGAGGCAGCAGUGGGGGAUAUUGCACAAUGGAGGAAACUCUGAUGCAGCCGACGCCGCGUGAGUGAAGAAGUAUUUCGGUAUGUAAAGCUCUAUCAGCAGGGAAGAUAAUGACAGUACCUGACCAAGAAGCCCCGGCUAACUACGUGCCAGCCGCUGC
rnacentral:rRNA from 1 species